GCAAUGGUGGAUGUGGAUGAAACAUACAGGGAGCCUCUUUUGGGACAAGCUCUCUAUCACCAGAAAGCGCUUACUGUCACAAGGGUGAUUCAUUUGAAAAAAUCUAUUUGAAAAACUAAAAGUUCAAGAGACUGUGGCCCUCGGUGCAAUUGAGAGGAAGUCAGACCUGCACAGUAGUUCAUCUCAUCUCGGAGACCAAACCAGGAGAACCCAUCCCAAACAUACCCAGGAGAGAUCUGAACCCUCUGAGAAAGACAAGACUACAUUAAAAGUGAC